CGUCUCCCUUUCCUUUUGUUCAAAGCUGUCGGCCUUUGCUUUCCUCAAACCAUCACGAUAAACCUCAUGCACGCCUCUCCAUUUCCUUCAAACUCCACCGACCAUUGGAUGCAUGAACUCCACCCUCUACAAGCGCUGCUGACCAUCUCCAUUUGAUAUAAGAGGAUCGAACUCCACCCUCAAGUAAUCCAAAUGCCAGCUAUCAUAGGAGUUUCGCGUUCCACCGACCAUUCAAGGAUCCAAUCAGCUAUCCGUUCCCUGUGUUCCUCAACCGACGUUGGCAGCCAUUAAUGGUGAAGGAUGAAAGGAUUUAGUUGGGCGUUGAGUUCAGAAAAGGUGAUUGGAGUUGAGGAGUUGGAGUUGCCAGACGUCGAACUCUCAGAUCUUGUCAUGGUGGAGACUGCACGAGGGUAAUGUAACGUUUGGGUAAUGCUCUAAUUCUCCUUUGUGGAAAUGCUCUGAUACCAUAUCAAAGGGAGAGAGGUAUGUGUGAAGAAGUUUAUCUUUAUUUUCUCUUGUUGUACUUACAUAAUGCAAGAUUCUUCAUAUAGAAGAAACUUGACAGUUACUAACCAACAGCUGGAAUUAACAACAAACAGAAUACAACUAAUCUUUAUAACAAACUGAUGUAACUAAUUUAUAGGUUUAUCGUUGAUACCAACAUUUGACUGAUUGUAAAGAGAUAGAUUCAGAUGUUUAUUACGAACACAAACAUCAUUGAUGAAUACAAAUAAGAAAAAGAAAUUCAAGUGUGAUGACUUGUGCUUAUAACUGAGAGGAUGGAGGAUGGAACUUUUAGUUUUAAAGGAAAGAGCUUAUGUUAAAUAUAGCUUGAUCAAUUUCAUUUAAAGUUUAUAUAUAUAUAUUUUUUGAAAAGGUCUUUUAAGUAUAAUCGGAGUGGGUAAUUGGAACUUGGGACCUUAUGUCUUCGAAAACAUAUAAAUUCUAGGUUAAUUGGGUUCAUGUUAACAAAAUCUCCAUUAAUGCUAAGUUAAAAUCUUAAAAUUUCAUCACAUUUUUGUACUAGAAAAAAGCUCCAUCUCAAAAUUGAAAUUUUUAACAUUAUAAUUUGUUUGACUCUUUCCAUAUAAUUGAAAGUUAAUCAAUUACAAUAAUUUUGGGAUAAAAAAUAAACCCAAUCCUUUUCACUGUCAUAACAACUUUGUCUGUGACUUCAAAAAUGACUCUUUCAAGUUUUGCUGGAUAAACAGUAGAUAAGAUAGCAAGAAAUCUAGAGGUUGAAGAAUAAUUUUAAUAAAUUAAAGAUAAAAAACCAAAUAAUUACUAACCGAGGUUUAGUCCCCGCAGCUACUGUACAGUCCCUCUAUAUUUGACUUGUUUUUCCAAUAAACAGAAAUGAAACUUCGAGGUGGUUUCCUUCUAUAGAAAAAAAAAAAAAAAGAAGGAAGGAAAAGUCAAACCAUGCAUUAUACAAAAGCUUGGAAUAUUUGUACUGAUCAUCAGGUUGACCAAAUUAAUAUGAUUGGCAUAAAGCAAAAAUAGAGAGAGUUAGAGAGUCGUAAUAAACAUUAAAGAUGAAAGUUUAUGGUAUGAUUCUGUUAGGUUGUAGUCCUGUAUUAUCCAGUUUGGUGAUUUUAUGUUGUCUUUAUAUUUGUGGAAUUCAUCAAAAGAUGAAAAAAACAACUAAGCGGCUCUCCACAUAUCCUGAUCUCAAAAUCGGACAACCCUCUGACCAAACCAACCAUGGUGGAAUCCUUAUUGUGGCUAAUACAGUUGUGACCACCACAGACGAUGGAUGUACUGGCGGUGACUGUGGCGGCGAUUGUGGUUGUGACGAUUGAUUUUGACAAAUCACAUCAGCAGUACAAACAACCUUCUUUGCUCAUGAGUAGUGUUUUGAAGUCCCCUCCAACAUAUGCGGAGACCGUCUACCUAAUUGUAAAUCAGUCAGCUUGGAAGACAAGCGAAGACUAUCUACAUAUGAUUGUUUUACCUCCGAAAGUAGUCAAAAGAGUUGGUCGACUGAAGAAAAAAAGGAUUCCAAGUGUUGGUGAAGCUCCGAAAUUGCAUAAGUGUGGUCGAUGUAAAGAAAUAGGUCACAACAGAUUAACGUGUACCAAUACAAUUUCAUAUACCGAGAAGUCCAGCAUACAAAUUUAAAAAUUUCUCUACCAAUGUACUAAUUAUUACACUAAUUAAUGAAUGUUACUUUUCUUUUA